AGUGAACGCUGGCGGCGUGCUUAACACAUGCAAGUCGAACGAGAACGGGUUAUAGCUUGCUAUAAUUGUCAGCUAAGUGGCGCAUGGGUGAGUAAUGUAUAGGUAAUAUGCCUCUUACUAAGGGAUAACAAAUGGAAACGUUUGCUAAUACCUUAUACUCCUUAUUAACAUAAGUUAAUAAGGGAAAGAUUUAUUGGUAAGAGAUUAGCCUGUAUUGUAUCAGUUAGUUGGUGGGGUAAUGGCCUACCAAGACUAUGACACAUAACUGGUUUGAGAGGAUGAUCAGUCGCACUGGAACUGAGACACGGUCCAGACUCCUACGGGAGGCAGCAGUGGGGAAUAUUGCACAAUGGACGAAAGUCUGAUGCAGCAACGCCGCGUGGAGGAUGACACAUUUCGGUGCGUAAACUCCUUUUAUAUGAGAAGAUAAUGACGGUAUUAUAUGAAUAAGCACCGGCUAACUCCGUGCCAGCCGCCGCAGUAAGAC
rnacentral:rRNA from 1 species